UACAGAGGUCUCAAGCGUUGUUCGGAUUCAUUGGGCGUAAAGGGUGCGUAGGCGGCGCGGUAAGUCGGGUGUGAAAUCUCGGAGCUUAACUCCGAAACUGCAUUCGAUACUGCCGUGCUUGAGGACUGGAGAGGAGACUGGAAUUUACGGUGUAGCGGUGAAAUGCGCAGAUAUCAGGAGGAACACCGGUGGCGAAGGCGGGUCUCUGGGCCGUAACUGACGCUGAGGAGCGAAAGCGUGGGUAGCGAACAGG
rnacentral:rRNA from 1 species